rnacentral:rRNA from 1 species
GAUCAUGGCUCAGGAUGAACGCUAGCUACAGGCUAACACAUGCAAGUCGAGGGGCAGCAUGAUCGAAGCUGCUUGAUGAUGGCGACCGGCGCACGGGUGAGUAACGCGUAUCCAACCUUCCCUAUAGUAGAGAAUAGCCCGGCGAAAGUCGGAUUAAUGCUCUAUGUUGUAUUUAGAAGACAUCUGAAGAAUACCAAAGGUUUACCGCUAUAGGAUGGGGAUGCGUCUGAUUAGGUUGUAGGCGGGGUAACGGCCCACCAAGCCCACGAUCAGUAGGGUUCUGAGAGGAAGGUCCCCCACAUUGGAACUGAGACACGGUCCAAACUCCUACGGGAGGCAGCAGUGAGGAAUAUUGGUCAAUGGACGAAAGUCUGAACCAGCCAAGUAGCGUGCAGGAUGACGGCCCUAUGGGUUGUAAACUGCUUUUAUACAGGGAUAAAGUGAGGGACGUGUCCCUUUUUGUAGGUACUGUAUGAAUAAGGACCGGCUAAUUCCGUGCCAGCCGCUGC